rnacentral:rRNA from 1 species
UCGCCGCGGUAAUACCAGCUCCUCGAGUAGUCAAGACGAUUAUUGGGCCUAAAGCGUCCGUAGCCGGUCCGGCAAGUCUCUGGUCAAAUCUAACGGCUCAACCGUUAGGCUGCUAGAGAUACUGCCAGACUCGGAGGCGGGAAAGGUCGAGGGUACUCUCAGGGUAGGGGUGAAAUCCGAUAAUCCUGAGGGGACCACCAGUGGCGAAGGC